CAUUAAGAAGCUUCUACAGCACUAGCCUUUUAAGCUAGGGAGGGAGACUCACCCUCUCCCUUAAUGA
rnacentral:tRNA from 1 species